rfam:Metarhizium majus ARSEF 297 Scaffold_1, whole genome shotgun sequence.
GGUCUGAUGGUCUAGUGGUAUGAUUCUUGCUUUGGGAUUUCUUAUUCCUAUAUAGUAUCCUUACAAACUGCAAGAGGUCCCGGGUUCAAUCCCCGGUCAGACCC